UGUCCUAUUAUCACCACUACCAGCUGUGGGGUGAGUGCCACCUCACCCUGGACGAGUUUGCUGAGUGCUUCAUGGAAGACAUACCCAUGUACCUUCCGUACUGGGAACACGUGAUUCCUUUCUGGAACAUGCGCCAGGAGCCACAUGUUCUGUUCUAUAGCUACGAGGAAAUGAAAGCGGACUUGGCAGCGGUGGUACGGAGAACGGCUGCCUUUUUGGGGAAGCCGAUCACAG